UUCGCAAUGCCCGAAAGGGUGACGAAGCGACGCCGCGUGCGGGAAGAAGGCCUUCGGGUUGUAAACCGCUGUCGGGAGUUAAGAAAUGUAAGGAUGCUAAUAGCAUCUUUGCUUGACUAAGGCUCCGGAGGAAGCCACGGCUAACUCUGUGCCAGCAGCCGCGGUAAUACAGAGGCGGCAAGCGUUGUUCGGAAUUAUUGGGCGUAAAGAGCACGUAGGCGGCUAUGUAAGUCGGUUGUGAAAGCCUUCUGCUCAACGGGAGAACAGCAUCCGAUACUGCAUGGCUUGAGUGCGGGAGGGGAGAGUGGAACUUCUGUGGAGCGGUGAAAUGCGUAGAUAUCAGAAGGAACGCCGGCGGCGAAAGCGGCUCUCUGGCCCAUAACUGACGCUGAGUGUGCGAAAGCUAGGGGAGCAAACGGGAUUAGAUACCCCGGUAGUCCUAGCCGUAAACGAUGGGCACUAAGUAGAGGGGUUUU
rnacentral:rRNA from 1 species